AAAAGAGAAAGAGAGAGAGAGAUAGAGAGAAGGAGAAGGAAAGGAGAAGGCAAGACAUUUUGAGAUUAAUCUAUUAUCGUGGUUAAGAAGUUCCCUACACGUCUGAGUUAGUUAUAUCUUGGAGAAGAGAUGAGCAAUCAAGUGGAGCUACAGGGAAGGCACCGAAGAAGUGAGCUUAGGCUCCCUUCUCUCAGCUUGGCACGUGGUUUUCUGUUUAUUUUGUAAUUAUAAUUGCCAUGACCUAGGGACC